UGACAUCUGGAGCCGGAUCCUCCUGGCGUC
rnacentral:piRNA from 1 species